rnacentral:rRNA from 1 species
AACGAACGCUGGCGGCAUGCCUAACACAUGCAAGUCGAACGAGACCUUCGGGUCUAGUGGCGCACGGGUGCGUAACGCGUGGGAAUCUGCCCUCUGGUACGGAAUAACUCAGGGAAACUUGAGCUAAUACCGUAUAAUGACUUCGGUCCAAAGAUUUAUCGCCUGAGGAUGAGCCCGCGUAGGAUUAGCUUGUUGGUGAGGUAAAAGCUCACCAAGGCGACGAUCCUUAGCUGGUCUGAGAGGAUGAUCAGCCACACUGGGACUGAGACACGGCCCAGACUCCUACGGGAGGAAGCAGUGGGGAAUAUUGGACAAUGGGCGAAAGCCUGAUCCAGCAAUGCCGCGUGAGUGAUGAAGGCCUUAGGGUUGUAAAGCUCUUUUACCCGGGAUGAUUAUGACAGUACCGGGAGAAUAAGCCCCGGCUAACUCCGUGCCAGCAGCCGCCGCCGUAA